UGUCAUGUAAAUUUUGUGCAAAUUAAACCCGCCCUGCGUGAAGCACAGCAAGCCCUUCCUUGUCAUCUUAUUUGUAGCCUAGUGACUGAAUGAUUCAAAAACGUUUACCGCUUACGACCAGGGGUGAUCCGUAUAAAAUAUCAGAUCUUAGAUCGUGGAAGUAAAAGGAAAUUUGCAUCUAAAGCCUUGGAGGCCCAAACCACACUUCAGCAGGACCAUCACACCCCGCCCCUCGGUCAACAUUAGACCUGUCUAAAGUGCGACAGGUGCGUGGAGAGAUCAGCACCUUCACUGCUGCGGGAAAAGGAGAGGGGGAUGAUUUUUUUGUCGACUAUAAAAACCCGACACUGGCCAGGCUGAUUCAUAGGACCUGCAGGUACGGAAACGAGCAUGUCGACUGAGGCCCUCCAUCAGAGCAACCUGGAUAUGAACCUACAGAGGUGAGCCAGACAGGGAACAUGCCUGAAAAAUGAGAUGAAUGAAAACUUCUUGGAUUCAAAGUUUUUGGCUGGAGUUUAUCACUUCGAUGGAUAAAACUGCACUUGCUCUACGUUGAGCCACACGCACAAUACAUGUGGAUUCAGUUUUGUUCGUUCGGCUCGCGUUAAGCAAGUGCAGAACUUCUUCGUGUGUGACAUUUUUGGAUUAGAAGCACGAAUAACUACUAUGCUCUUUUGUUGGGAAUCAUUUCUGAAUGGGAAAACAAGAACCCAAACGUCAAAAUGUGAGAUAUUCAUAUAUAUAUAUAAAAUGUAAGAGCCGCAAUUGAUCAUCUGUCUUCUGAAAUGGUCAUGAUUUACAAUGUCACCUGUUAUCCAACACAAUGUUUGUUGAGCUCUCCACUUCCUCUCUUCUGUGCUGGUUUUAUCUUCUCACAUAUGCUGCAGUGAUGUAAUGGCAAAAUAAAGUUCUUCUCAACUCCUCA